rnacentral:rRNA from 1 species
UUGAACGCUGGCGGAAUGCUUUACACAUGCAAGUCGAGCGGCAGCGCGGGGGCAACCUUGGCGGCGAGCGGCGAACGGGUGAGUAACAUAUCGGAACGUACCCAGACGUGGGGGACAACUAGUCGAAAGACUAGCUAAUACCGCAUACGUCCUGAGGGAGAAAGCGGGGGAUCGCAAGACCUCGCGCGUUUGGAGCGGCCGAUAUCUGAUUAGCUAGAUGGUGGGGUAAAGGCUCACCAUGGCGACGAUCAGUAGCUGGUCUGAGAGGAUGAUCCGCCACACUGGGACUGAGACACGGCCCAGACUCCUACGGGAGGCAGCAGUGGGGAAUUUUGGACAAUGGGGGCAACCCUGAUCCAGCCAUGCCGCGUGAGUGAAGAAGGCCUUCGGGUUGUAAAGCUCUUUCAGACGGAAAGAAAACGCAUCGGUGAAUACCCGGUGUGGAUGACGGUACCGUAAGAAGAAGCACCGGCUAACUACGU